AUGAACGCUAGCGGCAGGCUUAACACAUGCAAGUCGAGCGCUACCUUCGGGUGGAGCGGCGGACGGGUUAGUAACGCGUGGGAAUAUACCCAGUUCUAAGGAAUAGCCACUGGAAACGGUGAGUAAUACCUUAUACGCCCUUCGGGGGAAAGAUUUAUCGGAAUUGGAUUAGCCCGCGUUAGAUUAGAUAGUUGGUGGGGUAACGGCCUACCAAGCCUACGAUCUAUAGCUGGUUUUAGAGGAUGAUCAGCAACACUGGGACUGAGACACGGCCCAGACUCCUACGGGAGGCAGCAGUGGGGAAUCUUGG
rnacentral:rRNA from 1 species